UUUUUAUUCUUGAGUUACUUGUUCAAUUUCUUUCUUAUCAUCAUCAUUCGUUUUCUCUUGACUAGCAUGAUAAAUAACAAGUUCAUUUUCAGUGCAUUCACUAGUUUUAUCUAGAAGCAAGUCAUCUUCUCCUAACAAGUCAUCCUCAUGACUAUUGAAAUCAAGAUACUAAGGAUGUGAUACCUUGGGGCCUUUAGCCAUG
rnacentral:lncRNA from 1 species